ACUCAUGUGUCCACAUCAGGAUCUGUGCACUCUGCACACACACAGGAAAACCCAGUUCCUGCCCUAAAGUGCUUACAGUGUAAUUUGAAACAAGAAGCAACAGGUAAUUGGAUACGGUGCCUUGGGAGGCUGCCAGGCAUGAUGUCAUACCUCCGCAGGAAAAAUAUCCUAUGUAGUUACUUGAUACACCAGCCCGUGUCUCAUCCUCGGGCAACAGAAGAGCUCUGAGCUGGGGGUAGAGACCUCCCAGGUGACCAGGUUAAUCCUCCUUUUUGUCUUGUUCCUGCUCUGGCAUCUGAGGCAUCUUAUAGCUUUUGUACCAUAUCCCUCCUAGUAUCGGCCCACUGACAUUUCCAGGACUAGAUAAACUGCUUCCCAUGGUAGUGCAUCCAGAAAUUAUACACAGAUACCCUCUGGAAUGCUGGAUGAAGCAUGAAGGGACAUAUCAAUCUUUAGUGCAUCUGGCAUGUAAAUAUCUUGCGACGCUGACUGCAAUAGUGCCAUGUGAACACCUGUUCUCACUUUCAGGUGCCAUUGUGAACAAGAAGCAGGUGGCAUUAUCUCCUGCAAAUGUAAACAAACGUGUUUGUCUGAGCAAUUGGCUGAACAAGAAAUAGGACUGAGUGGACUUGUAGACUCUAAAGUUUUACACUGUUUUAUUUGUGAAUGCAGUUACUUUUUGUACAUAAUUCUACAUUUGUAAGUUCAACUUUCAUGAUAAAGAGACUGCACUACAGUACUUGUAUUAUGUGAGUUGAAAAAUACUAUUUCUUUUGGUUUUUACAGUGCAAAUGUUUGUAAUAAAAAUAAAUAUAAAGUGAGCACUGUACACUUUGUAUUCUGUUAUAAUUGAAAUCAAUAUAUUUGAAAAUGUACAAGCAUCCAAAAAUAUUUAAAUAAAUGGUAUUCUAUUAUUGUUUAA